CAGGAAGGAGUGGUGGCGGAUGGUGUCGAAGAUGGAGUAGAGAGCCCAGUCCAAGCCGCAGAGCACCCCCAGCAGCAGCAGAAUGGGCAGUGUCUCCAGGAGCUCCCUCACCUGGCCAAGGAGCAGGAGGGGCAGAGCUGGGCAGCGCCACCUGUCUGGGCACGGAGCACUCUCUGGUGCCUUUUACCCUCCACCCUCACCUUCAGGCCUGUCUUUGCACCCAGGAGCCCACACCCCAUGCUGUCCUCACCAUGUUGCUCAUUUCUGAGGCCUGGAUGGUGGGCUUGCAGGGGAAGAUGACGGUUUUCUCCUCAGCUUUGCGGAGUGGCAGCAGAGUCCGUUUGCCCUGGAAAGCAAAUGUCCACACAGUUAGGAAGCCCAAGGGCCCUCUGCCCUUUCCCCCUCUGCCUUCCUGGAACAUGAACCCACACAGGGCACAUAGCAAGGCAUCCCUGGGCAGUGCCACACCCACUCACCAGCUUCUUCCUGCGGUCAUCGAUCUGGCAGAAGUAGGUGCUGAUGUAGAUGUUGUCAAAACGAAUGUCACGGUUAUAGCUGUCCAUGUAGGAGAAAGACCUGUGGGUGGAUGGGCGGGGAUGUCUCUAUCUCCUCCAGGUUCUCCUCAUCCAUCCCCAAACAUGGGCUUCCUUGAGGCACAGUCUUUCAGCCAACCAGCCAGCAUUCAUUGAGCACCAUCUAUGUCCUAGGCACUGCUAGGCGAUGGUGAUAAUAAAGAGAAGACUCUGUCCCUGCCUUCCAGUUGUGUAGAGGAAGAUAUCCCCCUACACGAUGGGUGAGACACAGCAGAAGAUGGAUAUCGAGCAGAGUCACAGAGACAGGAAACUCCUGGAGGUUUCAGGAAUCACCUAAUCCACUGUGACUCACAAGUUCUUGCCUCUUGGCUUUGCCUGCAGCAUAUCUCCUGGAGGUGUGCCGGGGCAAAACUCAUCCCAAACCACCAUCUCUAUCCUCCUCAAUACACCCUGGCCCUCCCUGCCUACCCUUGAGCAUGGUGCAUGUGUGCAUGGGUGCAUGCCUGCAUAGAUAGCUAUCUCCCACGUAUUUCCCAAAGCCCCACAUAAUGCUUCAGUUUGCUAAGGAAAAAAUGUUAAUUAUUGCAAAUGUGUUUAAAACUGUAAAAGUACAUUAAAUAAACUCUGUAAAGCGUG